rnacentral:lncRNA from 14 species
CAAGCGUGUGCGUGCACACCUAGCACAUGCAUGCACAGCUAAGCAUGCGUGUGCACCACCAGGCAGCUGCGUGGGCACCCAGCACGUAUGUGCAUGCUCAGCACACGCCUGCGUGCCAAGCACAUGCGUGCACACACAUGAACGCUGCCUGACCACCAUCCCUGAACACCCGUAAGGGCAGCCCAAAGGGGGAACAUGCGAGCGCCUCCAUGCACCCCGAGCCAGCCCUGGCGUGCUCAGUGCCAGACACGCUGUGGCCACGCGUGUGUGUGUGCAUGGCCCGGCCCCGUCUCGGGGCGGUGUUGACGGUGCCGGGACGGGACGGCUGCGUCGAGGAGCGGUGGGCACCAUGGUCUUGGGGGGCCCUGGCUGGUGCCUACUGGUGGGGCUCUGCACCCUCAUCCCUGGCACCACACAGCAGGGACCAGAAGAGGAUGUGACCCCCAGUGUUGGGCUGGAGGAAUUGGGGUACCACAUCCCCCAGGAUGGGGACCCCCUCCAGGACUCCCAGCACUGUGGCAUCACCUUCCACACCCCCAGCCCCUGCAGCCCACGAGGGCCCACAGCCUUCGCCUCUCGCAGUGAGCUGGAUCACCUCAAGAGCCUCUUGCAGAACACCAAGGCCAGCCUGAAGGAUGUGGAGAUGGCGGCCAUGCUGGAGGAGAACCAGACCCGCUACCAGGACAUCAUCACCGAAGCGCUGCCUGCCAUCCAUGAGGCCAACCUGGAAUUUCAGGAAAGCCUGGAUAAUGUCCGGAGGGAGCUGGAGGCUCAUGUGGCCGAGGCUGAUCAUCCACAGACAGCUGAGAAGAAGGAGAAGCUGCGGAAGGGUGUCCGUGUGGUGGCACACAUGCUGCGCCUCACCAGCCGCCUGGCCCAGACCCUCGAUGCUGCCUCACAGCGCCUCGAUGCUGAGCUCAGCCAGCGCCUGCAGAGCUCGGCUGCCACCGCCACUGAGCCCUAGGGCAGCAGGGACGGGCUCCACCGUCACCCUGCCUAUGGCCUUGCUUGCUGGUAGGACCCCAACCCUCAGCUCCAUGGCUCCUGGGGUGUCCUGGCUCCUCUCCGCAGCACCAGGGGCUGAGGUGUUGCCCAGAAUGUUUGCAGAGUGGUCUGGGUGCUGGAGCUGGCAGCGCUGGGAUGGGACAGGAGGCUGCUGCCCGCUGCGGGAUGUAUCGCACAUAAAAUGCCACUGCAUGCGUGAUGAUGCCUGUAACCCAAGGCCUGGGUGUUCAUAGAAUCAUGAAACCAAUGGUUUGGGUUGGAAGGGACUUCAAAGCUCAUCCUGUUCCAGCCCCCUGCCAUGGGCAGGGACACCUUCCACUAGACCAGGUUGCUCCAAGCCCCUGUGUCCAACCUGGCCUUGAACACUGCCAGGGAUGGGGCAGCCAGAGCUUCUCUGGGCACCCUGUGCCAGGGCCUCAGCACCCUCACAGGGAACAACUUCUGCCUCAGAGCUCAUCUCAGUCUCCCCUCUGUCAGGUUAAAGUCAUUCCCCCUUGUCCUGUCCCUACAGGCCCUUGUCAAAAGCCCCUCUCCAGAUUUCUUGUUGGCCCCUGAGCAUCUUCAUUGUACUUCUUUGGACUCACUCCAACUGCUCCACAUCCUUCUUAUGUUUGGUCCCAAGAGCUAGAUGCAGGACUGUGGUGCAUCCAUCGUGUUGGAUGCAUUUAUCCUGCAGCAGCUCUCCCAUCACAUAGCAGAGCCUGGUGCACAGCAUAUGUUCAGCCUUGUGUCUGGGGGAAAACCCCUCUGUGGCAGCUCCUUCCCAUCCCCAGCAGACCUCUGGACCCCUUUGUCCCUCCCUGGAAGAGCUUUACCCACAAAGGCUCUCUCUUGUCGCAGCCAUGCAGCCACACUUACCCACAGCUACACCAUCGCACCCAGAUCCUUGCCUGAACCUCCUGGGGCUCCCCAGAGGGUCUUACAAAUUAACCCCAACUCUUCUGGGGCUUGGUGGCAUCUCACCAGUGGUCCAGCAGCAUCACUGGUGUGGGCAGAGCCCUGGGUAAGCCUUCACCCUUGGGAGCAUCUUGUCCAGGCUUGGAAGAGCCUUUUUGCCCCUGGGGUGGUAACAGUGGAGCUGCAGACAGGGUGUGAGAGUGGCUGGAGAUGAAGUGCCAGGCAAUAAAUCAAAGCUGGCAACUCGAGUGCUUCCA